rnacentral:rRNA from 1 species
UACGUAGGGUGCAAGCGUUAAUCGGAAUUACUGGGCGUAAAGCGUGCGCAGGCGGUUUUGUAAGUCUGUCGUGAAAUCCCCCGGCUUAACCUGGGAACUGCGUCUGAUACUGGACGGCUUGAGUAUGGGAGAGGGAUGUAGAAUUCCAGGUGUAGCGGUGAAAUGCGUAGAUAUCUGGAGGAAUACCUAUGGCGAAGGCAGCUCGCUGGGACGUUACUGACGCUGAGACGCGAAAGCGUGGGGAGCAAACAGG